UGGGGAAUAUUCGACAAUGGGCGCAAGCCUGAUCCAGCCAUGCCGCGUGUGUGAAGAAGGCCUUAUGGUUGUAAAGCACUUUAAGCGAGGAGGAGGCUACUUUAGUUAAUACCUAGAGAUAGUGGACGUUACUCGCAGAAUAAGCACCGGCUAACUCUGUGCCAGCAGCCGCGGUAAUACAGAGGGUGCAAGCGUUUAUCGGAUUUACUGGGCGUAAAGCGCGCGUAGGCGGCUAAUUAAGUCAAAUGUGAAAUCCCCGGGCUUAACUUGGGAGUUGCAUUCGAUACUGGUUAGCUAGGGUGUGGGAGAGGAUGGUAGAAUUCCAGGUGUGGCGGUGAAAUGCGUAGAGAUCUGGAGGAAUACCGAUGGCGAAGGCAGCCAUCUGGCCUAACACUGACGCUGAGGUGCGAAAGCAUGGGGAGCAAACAGG
rnacentral:rRNA from 1 species